rnacentral:lncRNA from 1 species
UGCUAUGCAGUUAAAUCCAAAUUCUGAGGGGACUACCAUUCCAUUUUUUUGUUCAAAUAAUUUCACAGAGUAUGAGAUCUUCAUUCCUGCUCCAUUCGUUAAAAAUGUUGAAUGGUUAGUCGACACCUAGCCCAUGUAAUGGUUAUUCAAUAAAUACAAGGAAUAACUUAUAAUUUUUUCAUUCCUAGCAUACCCCUCACAAAAUCACAAAUUUACGAGCUUCUAUUAGGCAAAAACCUGGGACGUUCUUCUUUCACCAUUUUCUUCCAAACUUUCACUUUUCAUCCUGAGGGAAAGAAAGCUUAGAACAUCGAAUUCGUCUCCAGGUAAGCAUCAAUUUUCAUAGAUAAGAUUCAAGCUUUUUGAAAACUAAACAAUAUAGGUCUUGAGUUUGAUUUGAGUUUUUGAGUUUCUUUUUUCCUUAAACUGUUCAAGAACUUGAAAAUUGAAAAUUAUCAGAGCAUCAAAUUCGUCUCCAGGUAAGCAUCAAUUUUCAUAGGUAAGAUUCAAGCUUCUUGAAAACUAAACAAUAUAGGUCUUGAGUUUGAUUUGAGUUUUUGAGUUUCUUUUUUCCUUAAACUGUUCAAGAACUUGAAAAUUGAAAAUUAUCAGUCUUUGAUGCUUGGAAAGUGAAAACUUGAAAAUUGUUAUUUACAUGUUUUUAAUUUUCGUUUUGUGUUUAAUCUGAGAUGAAAAUGUAAAUAUUGUACUGAUAUGUUUUUCUAAAUCCAAAAAUUAGGGCUUCGAAUUGCAUUAUGCUCCCUUUAAGUUGUUUUGUUACUAUUUUGCUUUUAAGAAUUUCCCCUUAAGCUGAACUGGUUACUUAGGACCUCUAUCUGUAUGUAAUAGUUGGUGCUUUGAAUUCCAACUUGGAACGAAGGCAAGGUCAGCUUAAUUCUUUUACUUUUUUUCUUUUCAAAAUUCAAUAAUUUUGCUAUUUGGUUUGUGUUUAGAUUUGUUUCAUGUUCCAAGCAUAUAUGGUGCUUCAUCUUGUUUGACUAUGUAAUGCAACUGCUAAUUAUACUACAAGACGUUUACGACAAGUUCUUAUCCAUAAUCAUGUUAGAUAUGCUAUGGCUAUUUAAAUCAUGAAUCAUGAUCGAUAAAAAUGAGACAUGCAUUUCUUGAUGUUCAGGUGAAGCAGUAUAACUAGCAUGAUGUGGAGUCAGGGAAACUGAUUACUAUAUUUAGUGCUUCAGACUACCCACAAUUUCGAGCAUCUUCAUGAUAUUCAUUACUUUAUUUGUUGUCCUUCAAGAUUUAAAUGUUUGGUUUCUGCUUUGAUCUUGACAACAAAUGACAAAUUAUGUACAUGUUUUGGCUUAAGUUUCAUCCACAACAUCCUUUUGAAUAUUUUCUAUGGAUAUGUACCUAGAUUUUAUAUUACUGUUACUUUUUUGUGGUUAUGUGGAUGUCUUUUGAUAUCACUGAAGUGUUUUAGGAGGUUUGAAUGCCUUUCAUAAUGGAAAUAAAAAGUUGUUUUGUUUCUUGGACAUGGUUAGAGUGAAGUUAUGUGGUCUUGUUGAAAUGCAUCAAAAUUCAGAACAAUAUACAUAUAUUAAACUUACAUAUACUUAUAUGCCAAAGCUGAUUUGUGUUUUUUAUGCAAGUAAGUGAGAUAAUUGUAUGUGAUGGUACUAAUACCUAUUCAAGAUCCGGGUCAAGCAUAUAAAUAUAUCUAUCUAUUCCAUGUUGGUCUCAUAUAUAAAGGAAAACUAUGGAUAAGAUUCUAGUGGGAGCAAGAACAAUAUAUUUGUUGUGGGGGUGUCAUAUUCUCGAUAUCUUAUAUUUGUUGGUAUUAUGAUUGGUGAAGCAGAUUUCAGCAUUUUCCUUGGAACAAUCAGUGCACUUUAUUUUUUAUUUAACUAAAAAGAUGUUUAGCAAAGCAAUUUUUUCUUGCUCUUCAUAUUUCAUCUCUUUCUUAUGCAUAGUAAUUUGAAAAUUGUUGCAAGUAUCUUUAUUUCUUUAUUUUAGGCAAUAUUCCUAACAGAUACUCCAUUAAACAUCCAUGAAACUUGAAAAAAAUUCAUUGCAAGUAUCUUUAUUUCUUUAUUUUAGGCAAUAUUCCUAACAGAUACUCCAUUAAACAUCCAUGAAACUUGAAAAAAAUUCAUGCUCAUGGUUUAUGUUCUACUUUUGAAAUAAAAUAAAAAAAGUAGCCAUGCAAAUAAAUAAUAAUAAUGUAAUGAAUCUAAAUUUAAUAAAAUAAUUUUAAUAGUAAUAACGGUUGGAUUGGUAGAGCGAAUAAAUUAUUAGAAAUAAAAGUAUGGGUGAUUAAACAAGUGACAUGUAUUAAGCUUUUCUAAUACAUUUUAAAUUGGUCAAAUUUAAUUUCAGUCCCUAUACUACCUCAGAAAUUAUAAUGUCUUCAAAAGCAUAAGAGAAUUAUGGGUAUAGUCACAUCUUGAAGGGGCUCUAACACUGUAGCUGACCAUGUGGUGAAGCUGUGCAGGAAUGAUAAUCCUAAUUUGUUCCUUUAUGUGUAUGGGAAUUCAUAUUUAUUCAAAGGGGUAUGCAAGAAACUUCUUGGCAACAACAUUGUGUUGUUUAAUCUAGUAUUGUUCUUUUAAGGGUUUAACCCUCCUUUCAUUCUCUGUCCCCUCCCCCCCCCCCAAAAAAAAAAAACCAACUUAAUCUAGUUUUAUUCUUUUAAGGGGUUAUUUUGCUUAUUUUUUAUAAUCUAUAAGCAUCAUUUUGUUUAUUUUUCAAAUGGAG